CCCUUAGAUGUUCUGGGCUGCACGCGCGCUACACUGAGUGGAUCAGCGGGUCAGGUUGCGCGAAAGCGUUUCCUAAUCUUUAAAUCCGCUCGUGAUGGGGAUUGACGGUUGCAAUUUUCUGUCAUGAACGAGGAAUACCUUGUAAGCGCGGGUCAUCAUCCCGCGCUGAAUACGUCCCUGCCCUUUGUACACACCGCCCGUCGCUCCUACCGAUUGAGUGGUCCGGUGAGGCUUUGGGAUCUGAGCGGAAAGAGCGUUUCGCUGUUUCUGCUCGGAAAACUCAGUCGAACCUUAUCAUUUAGAGGAAGGAGAAGUCGUAACA
rnacentral:rRNA from 1 species